UAGCGAAACCCCGGCAUUGCCGGGGUCGGUCAGGCGUGGCGGUCUGGCCCUGAUGAGCAGCCAACA
rnacentral:hammerhead_ribozyme from 1 species